CCUACGGGUGGCAGCAGUAGGGAAUGUUCGUCAAUGGGCGCAAGCCUGAACGAGCAAUGCCGCGUGAACGAGGAAGGUCUUCGGAUCGUAAAGUUCUGUUGAAGGGGAAAAAGAGCGGAGAGAGGAAAUGGUCGCCGAUGGAGAUUACCCGACGAGGAAGGCACGGCUAACGACGUGCCAGCAGCCGCGGUAAUACGUAGGUGGCGAGCGUUAUCCGGAAUGAUUGGGCGUAAAGGGUGCGUAGGCGGCCUGCUAAGUCUGGAGUUAAAGGUACCGGCUCAACCGGUACAGGCUCUGGAAACUGGCGGGCUCGAGUGCCGGAGAGGGCGGUGGAACUCCAUGUGUAGCGGUCACAUGCGUAGAUAUCUGGAAGAACACCAGUGGCGAAGGCGGCCGCCUGGCCUGUUACUGACGCUGAGGCACGAACGCGUGGGGAGCAAAUAGGAUUAGAUACCCGAGUAGUC
rnacentral:rRNA from 1 species